GAUUGGCAAUUUACCUUUUGCUUCUGUGUCCUUUUAAGGCUCAGAGAAUAUUUUUGCUUUAGGGGAAUAAACAACCAUUUGCUUGUAAUAGCAUUUUAUACAUGAAAUUUGGUUCUGUCAUUGGAUUAUGUAUAUUAAAAAGGUGAAGAUACCUACUAGUACAAACAUGUUUCUUUAAUAGCAUUUUAUACACGAAAGUUGGCUCUUUAGUUGGAUUAUGUAUAUUAAAAAGGUGAAGAUACCUACUAGUACAAACAUGUUUCUUCAGUGCCCUGAUUGAGUAAUGUCCAACAAAGUUUUAUUUUAAAUCCUUCUGCAUGUCCUUGCUCUUGUUGGACAUGCUGUAUCCCUACUUGUGCACAGGCCUAUAGUUAUUUUUGAAUAACUUUUUUUUUGAGAAUGAAUAGUUAGUUUUGAAUAACUUUUUUUUUUGAGAAUGAAUAGUUAGUUUUGAAUAAUUAAUGUUUUCUUCUUCCCUUUCAUUGGAUAAACAG
rnacentral:lncRNA from 1 species